GGGCAAUUAGCUCCGUUGGCUACCGGCCCGUACCGAACGGUACAUUCUGGCGGGGAGCACUUGCUCGACAAGCAAGGGGUCACUGGUUCGAGUCCAGUAUCGCCCA
rnacentral:tRNA from 1 species